GCACUGAAGAGGAGUCUCAAACAAAACGAAACGGCCGUCUAGUGU
rnacentral:hammerhead_ribozyme from 1 species